rnacentral:ncRNA from 1 species
GGGUUCGGGAAUCAGUUUCCCGGAGGCUAACGAGGUAGUCGGGCCGCUAUCU